UGUUCUGAGACAUCCUUCAGAGGCGCA
rnacentral:piRNA from 1 species